GAACGCUGGCGGCAUGCCUUACACAUGCAAGUCGAACGGCAGCACGGGGGCAACCCUGGUGGCGAGUGGCGAACGGGUGAGUAAUGCAUCGGAACGUGCCCAGUAGUGGGGGAUAACCAGUCGAAAGAUUGGCUAAUACCGCAUACGACCUACGGGUGAAAGCGGGGGACCGUAAGGCCUCGCGCUAUUGGAGCGGCCGAUGUCUGAUUAGCUAGUUGGCGGGGUAAGAGCCCACCAAGGCGACGAUCAGUAGCUGGUCUGAGAGGACGACCAGCCACACUGGGACUGAGACACGGCCCAGACUCCUACGGGAGGCAGCAGUGGGGAAUUUUGGACAAUGGGCGCAAGCCUGAUCCAGCCAUGCCGCGUGCGGGAAGAAGGCCUUCGGGUUGUAAACCGCUUUCAGAAGGAACGAAAAUGACGGUACUUUCAGAAGAAGGUGC
rnacentral:rRNA from 1 species